UACGGGGGGGGGCAAGCGUUGUUCGGAAUUACUGGGCGUAAAGGGCUCGUAGGCGGCCAACUCAGUCGGACGUGAAAUCCCUCGGCUUAACCGGGGAACUGCGUCCGAUACUGGAUGGCUUGAGUGUGGGAGAGGGAUGCGGAAUUCCAGGUGUAGCGGUGAAAUGCGUAGAUAUCUGGAGGAACACCGGUGGCGAAGGCGGCAUCCUGGACUACUACUGACGCUGAGGAGCGAAAGCGUGGGGAGCAAACAGG
rnacentral:rRNA from 1 species